AACGAACGCUGGCGGCGUGCCUAACACAUGCAAGUCGAGCGAGAAAGGGACUUCGGUCCCGAGUAAAGCGGCGCACGGGUGCGUAACACGUGGGUAAUCUUCCUUCAGGUCCGGAAUAACUCUUCGAAAGGAGAGCUAAUGCUGGAUAAGCCCACGGCCCCUUAGGGGCUGUGGGAAAAGAUGGCCUCUGCAUGCAAGCUAUCUCCUGUAGAUGAGCCCGCGGCCCAUCANGCUAGUUGGCGGGGUAACGGCCCACCAAGGCGACGACGGGUAGCUGGUCUGAGAGGACGAUCAGCCACACUGGAACUGAGACACGGUCCAGACUCCUACGGGAGGCAGCAGUGGGGAAUCUUGCGCAAAUGGUCUAAACGACUGACGCAGCGACGCCGCGUGAGGGA
rnacentral:rRNA from 1 species